GUGCUUGCUUCAGUGGCACAUAUACUAAAAUUGGAACAACAUGGAGAAGAGUAGCAUGGCCCCUGCACAAGGAUGACACACAAAUUCGUGAAGUGUUCCAUAUUUUU